rnacentral:rRNA from 1 species
UGGCGACCGGCGCACGGGUGAGUAACACGUAUCCAACCUGCCGAUAGCUCGGGGAUAGCCUUUCGAAAGAAAGAUUAAUACCCGAUGGUAUAAUCAGACCGCAUGGUUUGAUUAUUAAAGAAUUUCGGUUAUCGAUGGGGAUGCGUUCCAUUAGGCAGUUGGUGAGGUAACGGCUCACCAAGCCUUCGAUGGAUAGGGGUUCUGAGAGGAAGGUCCCCCACAUUGGAACUGAGACACGGUCCAA